AAAAAAAAAAAGGAUUUCAACAGGGAUGGUAAUAUUAUCAUUCCUAUUUUACAGAUAAAGAAGCAACAGCUAAGAAAACUUAACUGGCUUAUCCAACAUCACACUUGUCCUAGAAUCUGAUCUUGCUUCUGUGAUUUCGAGAGGUCAGGAAGCGACAGUUUGAUGGACAUUCUGAAGGCCUUGGGUUCUCAUCCCAGCUCUGUGACCUUGGGCAUUUAUGCAUGAAUUUACUGUCAUGCCAGGUGCUGGAGAUACUAAAAAGGACAAGACAGGAUCAUCACUGCAGCAUCAGUGAGCCCCCUGGGGGAGGAGAUGUGCAAAUGGCCACCCUGUGGGGUGGAGGGCGGCACUAGGCACCAGAGGAGUCAUGUGGUGGGCCUGGAAGGCCGGGCCGGACUGGUCAGGGAAGGCUUUGCGGACACCUCGGGGAGCCGACACCUAGAGGAGGUGGUGGAGGUGUGGGGGCCAGAGGAAGUCGCUCCAGGCUGAAGGCACAGCUUGUGCAGAGGAUGGUGGCAUGGAAGGGCCCAGUGUGUGUCGUUAUCCCCUCUGCUCCUGGGACCCCAGGAGCUCCUUCCUGGGCUUAUGUUCUGUGGCAUGUGAAUUGUGGGGGCUUGGAUGUGGAAUGAGGUGCUCCCCAGCCCUGAGCUGACAGGGAGUGUGGUGUGGUUGCGCAGAUGGGGUUCUGGGACGAAAGUUCCUGAGCACAAAUCCCAGCCCUGUGAAUUUCUAGCUGCCAGGCUCUGAGUGCAUCACCUCCCAGGCGGUGCCCUCAAUUUCUCCUCUGCCUGGUGGGGAUGUCGGUGGUGUCUGGUUUAUAGCAUCGAGCAAGUUAAGCUUACAGAGCACUUAGAGCCAUUUCUGGAAGGCAGUAAAUGCUCAAUAAACAUUAACUGCCCCUCCCUAUUUUAAAAAUGAAGAAAAAUGAAGGUCUGAGGGAGUCAGCAAGCUGUCUAGAGAGACAUAGCCCAGAUGCUUGCAGGUCCAGCCUUGCCCUCCCUCCCCUCCACUUCCCUCACUGUCUCUCACUUUUCCCUCCCUUCCUCUCUCCUUUCUUUCCUCCCUCCCUCUAACUCUUGCACUUCAUCCCCUCAACUCCCCCAGCCAACUUCUGAAAGGCCUCCAAAUGCCUGGGACCUGCUGCAAAGCUCUUUGAUCUGACCAGACCGCCGGCGCCUCUGGCUGCUUGGCACCCUGAGUGAACCCUCUGCCCCCCACUUUGGGGCCUGUGCUGAGGCCUAGGGCAGAGUCUGGGCCUGGUAUCUAUUCUACCACCCCUCCAACCACUCCCUGCCUGUCCUCUGCCCCCAUGCUCCAGACCGCUUCCGGAGGGAAAGCAGCACCUGGGAUCUGUCUUCAGAGACAAGCAGCUUCCAGGCCUCCCCACAGGGUAGACUGAUAUUGGCUCCCUCCCACUGAAAAUGAAUGGCUGUCACACAGCCGGGUCACCCCAGAACCCCAGCGACUGUGGGCUUCCUGCCCACCCAUGGGAGGCUCUUUGGGGCCAGUUUCUGAGCCUGGUAAACACAAGCCUCCUCUCCCUCCUCCACGGAGAGCUGAGAACAAUUGCCCACUCUGAACCUGAAAGCCGGUGGAGGCCCGCUCUAAUGAGUGUGCAGCUUUCGCUGCCCUCAGAAAUCAGGCGCUGGCUCUGGGCACUCGGCAGCCAGAUGAUUGAAAGCCCAGUAGGGCUCCCAGCCCUCCCCCACCCCCACUCUCUUUUUUGUGUGUUGUCUGCAUCACUGCCCAGACCAAUCUCUCUUCAUGCUGAAUUUUUUAAAGCCAAAUUGGAAAAAAAUUGGAAGUAGCCUGCAUGCUAUUCCCCCUGGGCUCCAAAUGGGCUCUCCAGUUAGGGGAACAAAAUACACCAUUUUAAUUUAUAAUAAUAAUAAUUAUUAUUAUCAUUAUCCAUAACAAUAACAAUACCAAUAAUCCCAUGCAUGGGUAGGCCAAUGUACAGCGCAUAAAGUGCUUUUCCAGCUGUGAUUUCAUUUGGGCCUCGCCCCCCUGUGAACCUGCUCCCGCCCCACCCCCCCCACCCCCUUUGUCUGUAAUCCGAGCAGGCCAAUUGCCUGGUGACUCUCAGCUGGGGUGGGAAGGCCAGCCUCAGGCUCCCAGGCCCUGCUUUUCCCAUGUCCUCUCGAAGGGAUCACAUUAGCAACACAUUUUUUAGCAGACAUGGCAGAGCACCUGCUCCGGGAAGGGGGCCGGACCUGUCAGGAGAAGACAGGACUUUGCAGUCACUGGCCUCCAGUGAGAUGAUAGAGAAAGGCCAGAUAAUCUCAACUCCACACUAUAAGGGCUAUGCAUGGCCUUUGGGAGACUCUGGGCUCAAAAGUUGAAGUCAGCUUGAGGAACGCCUCAAAAGCCAUUUCAUCAAAUGUGGAUCACAUUACAGACAUCACAGUUUCAACUUGUCAUUGAAUCGUAACAUACGUACAGAAAAAUACAAAAAGCAUGAGGGUACAACUCAAUUACUUUUCUCAAACAGAACACACUCAUAUAAGCAGCCCAAGACUAAGAAAUGGAAGCCCCCCUUAUUCUCCCUUCUAAUCACUCCUCCCAACCAGGGUGACCACCAUCCCAACAUGAAACAACAUAGAUUAAUGCUGCUGCUUUUUGUAUUUGUAUGACUGGAAUCAUCCACACUAUGCAAUCUUUUGUGUCUGGUUUCUUUUGUUCGAUGUUAUGAUGUGAUAUUCACUAUCAUUGGAUACUGUUGCAGAUUUUUCAUUUCACUGCUCUGUGAUAUUUCACUGUAUGAAGAUAGUGAAAUUUAGGUAUCCAUUUAUCGUGGUGAACAUUUGGAUGGUUUCAAGUUUUCAGUUAUUAUGAAUAAAGCUGUUUAUGAA
rnacentral:lncRNA from 1 species